CAGCCUGGCUUUCACAUCUGCUGUGUGCAUCUGGAUCCGUAGUCACAGCUACUGCCUGCAGCACAAAACAAAGCAGGCGUUUAACCAUUGUCCCCAAGGAGGCGCCUCUAUAGAGGCUGAUCGUUCAAGCUAACAACUGCUAACAGAAGAAAAACCCCACAAGCUCCAGGACAAGGCUGGGUCAUUAAGAAUUACUCUAAAAUCUACUUCUCAUCAAAGCAAGAGUGGAAGGCAUGCAAAUGAUGUAUUCCUCAAAGGAGAAACGAAAAAGACAGCUAUGGAUGUACAUCUGACACAACGGAGAAAUCCCGAAACCCCGAGAAGACCCUGGAACGCAAAUGUACAGAUGCCUAUUCUGUGCCACCUGAAUAUCCAAUUACUCGGCUUUUGUCCGCAAGCUGUGACGGCUGUGGGAACAAGGAGUCGUGCAGCUCAAACGCAUGCAAGAUGCAGCACAAAAGCCCUUGACUUAGACCUCCAUUCUCUGGAAUCUAGAGUCUAGAUGCUGCUCCUCCAUCUUGGACUGCCAAGCCUCUGGGACUGAGGCUAUAGAAUCAUCUAUGAAACAAGCCCUGGGGCACACUUGUGAGGGUUAUGUUAAUCAGGUGAGAAGGCGCCCCUCCUGAAGAGGGGUUGCAGCAUUCCCUGGGCUGCUGACCUGGACUGCAUACAAAGGAGAGCGGCUGAGCAUCAGUUCCCAUCAUUUUGUUGGAUUCCUGGCUGCCUGCACUGCGACCAGCUAGCUGCCUCUGCUCCUGCCAUCAGGACGCCCCUGCCACAGCAGACUGUGAGCCAGAACAGCCUUUCUCCAUCAUGGAGUUGCUUUGGUCGGGGUAUUUUAUCAGACCCACAGGGAAGAAACUAAGACACUAAUGGUAACAGGGCUAAUCUACUGCUAACUGCUCAGUAGUAAGAUACCAAAAUAACUGAAUAGUCACGGGUCAGUAAAAAGAGGAACCUGAAGUGACCAGCUUAAAGGAGACAUUUUCAGUUGUUUGAAAAGACAUAAUAAGAGUCCCCCCACCCACCCCACCUCCCGGGCUGGAGUGAUGGCUCAGAGGUUAAAAGCACUGACUGC